rnacentral:rRNA from 1 species
UACGUAGGGUGCAAGCGUUAAUCGGAAUUACUGGGCGUAAAGCGUGCGUAGGUGGUUUGUUAAGUCUGAUGUGAAAGCCCUGGGCUCAACCUGGGAAUUGCAUUGGAUACUGGCAGGCUAGAGUGCGGUAGAGGGUAGUGGAAUUCCCGGUGUAGCAGUGAAAUGCGUAGAGAUCGGGAGGAACACCAGUGGCGAAGGCGACUACCUGGACCAGCACUGACACUGAGGCACGAAAGCGUGGGGAGCAAACAGG